UUACGGUCAUACCACAUUGAAACACCAGUUUCCGUACGAUCACCGAAGUUAAGCAACGUCGAGCCUGGUCAGUAUCUAAAUGGAUGAUCGCUUGGGAAUCCUACGUGCUGUAAG